UACAGAGGGUGCAAGCGUUGUUCGGAUUCAUUGGGCGUAAAGGGUGUGUAGGUGGCGCCGUAAGUCGGGUGUGAAAUUUCGGAGCUUAACUCCGAAACUGCAUUCGAUACUGCGGUGCUUGAGGACUGGAGAGGAGACUGGAAUUCAAGGUGUAGCAGUGAAAUGCGUAGAGAUCAUGAGGAAGACCAGUGGCGAAGGCGGGUCUCUGGACAGUUCCUGACACUGAGACACGAAGGCCAGGGGAGCAAACGGG
rnacentral:rRNA from 1 species